GGGGAAUAUUGCACAAUGGGGGAAACCCUGAUGCAGCGACGCCGCGUGAGUGAAGAAGUAUUUCGGUAUGUAAAGCUCUAUCAGCAGGGAAGAAAAUGACGGUACCUGACUAUGAAGCCCCGGCUAACUACGUGCCAGCAGCCGCGGUAAUACGUAUGGGGCAAGCGUUAUCCGGAUUUACUGGGUAUAAAGGGAGCGUAGGUGGUGUGGUAAGUCAGAUGUGAAAGCCCAGGGCUCAACUCUGGGAUUGCAUUUGAAACUAUCAUGCUAGAGUGCAGAAGAGGUAAGUGGAAUUCCUAGUGUAGCGGUGAAAUGCGUAGAUAUUAGGAGGAACACCAGUGGCGAAGGCGGCUUACUGGACUGUAACUGACACUGAGGCUCGAAAGCGUGGGUAGCGAAC
rnacentral:rRNA from 1 species